UGUACUGUUUACAUGCCAUUACCUAGAAACACCUGCUUAUCAUAACAUAACUUAGCAUUUUAUUCUAUUCCCGCAGUCACCUUAGAGGCCAUGUAUUGGCAGCAUGUUGAAUGUUUCCUUUUCCUUUUAUUUAUCACAAUUAAGUAUUAAUUUAUAACAAUAGAAACAAAACAAAUUUUUGUCUUUACUUCCUGAAUAGUCCACAACAAACAAGAAUUACUGGUGCAAAGAAUAAAAAGAAAAAGAAAUACACCACCAAACAAUUUCCAUGGAUUGAAUCCAGGCUACCAAAUUGUAGCUAAAAUUCUAGCUUUUGAGAAAAAUUAGGACCAGCUUUUGAGCUACAAAGACCUCAGACCUAAUGGAUCAGGGACUUAGCUCUGGAAUCAGGAACAGUAAAUAGAAAUAACACAGAAAUAACUUAAAAGAUGUAGCCAUCAUUAUGUUUUACUUCAAGCAGUCUGUAUAUCUGAUGCUACCUUCAGUUUGUCUGGUGAACCCUCUUCCAGCAACAACAGCACAGGUUGCUUUGGACCAACCCUUCUGCUGAGAGCAGCUGGAGGAGCUGGACUAAAUAGUAAAUAAGAGAAAAAAAUGAAAAGUGUAAAAUCAGUGCAAAGCCAGCAAGGCUGUGAAGAAUUGUGAAGUCAAGACCUGGGAGAGGAUGAAAGUCCAUAGAGGUGAACCGGAUAUUUGGGCCCACUCUUCUUAUAAAGGCACUGAAGAUAUCAAUCAGCGUGACCUGACCAGUCCCUGCACUCAAGGAACUCAUAGGUCCAGGUGCCCUGUGCACUUCCCGCUUCCUAAAGGGUUUGGAAGAGACAUUCUCACAGCCCCUACAGGUUUCCAAAUGGAAAUACUGUUUAAAUAAGGAUUAAAGACACAUACGAAACUCAGAUAAAAUAUUUACAAUAUAUAGGACCAGUUAAAAAUGCUUGCUUGGCACAGCACCUGGAUCAAGAUUAUCCAUCACAAAUCAGAGUCCUUACCAUGUGUCUGGGAGAGAGCUAAACGCUGGGGAUACUAAUUAACCAUGACCUGGUACUCGGCCUUCUGGAGGUCACUAAUGGACAGCACGACGGGACAGAGGAAAAAAGAAAGCAUAAAAGCACUGAAAAAUUGGAACCUUUCACCUUCUAGUCCUUUCAAGGAGCCUGGAGGGGAUCAUCCCCCCAAUGACCGGCAGGCUUUUGGGGGAAGGCUCAAGGUCACUGCAGCUGGACUGAACCUGCGCUGGUCCCCGUGGGGCUCACGGCCACCCGAAGCUGCUGGAAGAUGAGCCUGCACGUUGCUCACUGACUCA